rnacentral:rRNA from 1 species
GCCCAGUGAACAAUUAAACGGCCGCGGUACCCUAACCGUGCAAAGGUAGCAUAAUCAUUUGUCUAUUAACUGUAGACCUGUAUGAAAGGCAAAAUGAGGGUUUAACUGUCUCUUAUAAUAAAUCUAUUAAACUGAUCCCCCAGUAAAAAAGCUGGGAUACUCCCAUAAGACCAGAAGACCCUGUGAAGCUUUAACUAAACUAUUAAACUAAAUAAUAACUACUUUAGGUUGGGGCGACCUUGGAAAUAAAAAGAACUUCCAACAUAACAAAUAAUCAUUAAGGCCCACAAGCCAAUUAACGACCCAGUAAUACUGAUAAUUGAACUAAGUUACUCCAGGGAUAACAGCGCCAUCUUCUUCAAGAGCCCAUAUCAAAAAGAAGGUUUACGACCUCGAUGUUGGAUCAGGACACCCCAAUGGUGCAACCGCUAUUAAAGGUUCGUUUGUUCAACGAUUAAUGUCCUACGU